rnacentral:rRNA from 1 species
GCAUAUCAAUAAGCGGAGSAAAAGAAACCAACAGGGAUUGCCCCAGUAACGGCGAAGUGAAGCGGCAACAGCUCAAAUYUGAMAUCUGGCCUCGGCYCGAGUUGUAAUUWGCAGAGGAUGCUUCUGGCGAGGCACCGWCCGAGUCCCMUGGAAYGRGGCRCCAUAGAGGGUGAGAGCCCCGUAUGGUCGGACGCCUAGCCUGUGUGAAGCUCCUUSGACGAGUCGAGUAGUUUGGGAAUGCUGCUCAAAAUGGGAGGUAAAUUUCUUCUAAAGCUAAAUACCGGCCAGAGACCGAUAGCGCACAAGUAGAGUGAUCGAAAGAUGASAAGCACUUUGAAAAGAGGGUYAAAUAGCACGUGAAAUUGUUGAAAGGGAAGCGCUUGUGACCAGACUUGCGCCUGRCCGAUCAUCCGGGGUUCUCCCCGGUGCASUCGGCCAGGCUCAGGCCAGCAUCGGUUCUCUCGGGGGGACAAAGGCUCCGGGAACGUAGCUCCCUCCGGGGAGUGUUAUAGCCCGGGGCGUAAUGCCCUSGAGGGGACCGAGGMCCGYGCUUCGGCAAGGAKGCUGGCGUUACGGUCAUCASCGACCCGUCUUSAAACACGGACCAAGGAGUCAAGGUUUUGCGCGAGUGUUUGGGUGUAAAACCCGCACGMGUAAWGAAAGUAAASGUAGGUGAGAGCUUCGGCGCAUCAUCGACCGGCCCAGAUGUUCUCGGAAGGGCCUGAGUAGGAGCRUUAAGCCUKGGACCCGAAAGAUGGUGAACUAUGCUUGRAUAGGGUGAAGCCAGAGGAAACUCUGGUGGAGGCUCGCAGCGGUUCUGACGUGCAAAUCGAUCGUCAAAUCUGAGCAUGGGGGCGAAAGACUAAUCGAACCAUCUAGUAGCUGGUUACCGCCG